rnacentral:tRNA from 1 species
GCCUGGGUGGCUCAGUGGUUGAGCAUCUGCCUUCAGCUCAGGUCUUGAUCCAGGGGUCCUGGGAUCAAGUCCCGCAUCAGGCU